rnacentral:rRNA from 1 species
GACGAACGCUGGCGGCGUGCUUAACACAUGCAAGUCGAGCGAGUUGAUUCCCUUCGGGGAUGAAGCUAGCGGCGGACGGGUGAGUAACGCGUGGGCAACCUGCCUUAUAGAGGGGGAUAGCCUUCCGAAAGGAAGAUUAAUACCGCAUAACAUCAGAUUAUCGCAUGGUAGACUGAUCAAAGGAGCAAUCCGCUAUAAGAUGGGCCCGCGUCGCAUUAGCUAGUUGGUGAGGUAACGGCUCACCAAGGCGACGAUGCGUAGCCGACCUGAGAGGGUGAUCGGCCACAUGGGGACUGAGACACGGCCCAGACUCCUACGGGAGGCAGCAGUGGGGAAUAUUGCACAAUGGGGGAAACCCUGAUGCAGCAACGCCGCGUGAGUGAUGAAGGCCUUCGGGUUGUAAAGCUCUUUGAUCAGGGACGAUAAUGACGGUACCUGAAGAACAAGCCACGGCUAACUACGUGCCAGCCGCCGCCGUAACAC